AACUUAAAUUCUGGAGACUCUGUGGUGCAGAAUGGUGCAACAAGUAUCGUGGGUCAAUGUGUCAUCCAGUUGGCAAGACUCCGUGGCAUCAGUACCAUCAACAUUAUUCGUGACAGGGCUGGUUCGGAUGAAGCAAGAGAGCAGCUGAAAGCUCUAGGUGCAGAUGAAGU